UACGUAGGUGGCAAGCGUUGUCCGGAUUUAUUGGGCGUAAAGCGCGCGCAGGCGGUCGUUCAAGUCGAGUGUGAAAGCCCCCGGCUCAACUGGGGAGGGUCAUUCGAUACUGAUCGACUCGAAGGCAGGAGAGGGAAGUGGAAUUCCCGGUGUAGUGGUGAAAUGCGUAGAUAUCGGGAGGAACACCAGUGGCGAAGGCGACUUCCUGGCCUGUUCUUGACGCUGAGGCGCGAAAGCUAGGGGAGCAAACGGA
rnacentral:rRNA from 1 species